GAGCACGUAGGUGGGUUUGUAAGUCAGAUGUGAAAGCCUUCUGUUCAACGGAAGAAUUGCAUCUGAAACUGCGAGUCUUGAGUGUAGGAGGGGAGAAUGGAACUUCUGGUGGAGCGGUGAAAUGCGUAGAUAUCAGAAGGAACGCCGGCGGCGAAAGCGAUUCUCUGGCCUAUUACUGACACUCAGUGUGCGAAAGCUAGGGGAGCAAACGGGAUUAGAUACCCCGGUAGCCCUAGCCGUAAACGAUGGGCACUAAGUAGAGGGGUUUU
rnacentral:rRNA from 1 species